AUGGAUGCGGUGGUUGCUCUAUCACAGAGCAAAGCUACUAAGCAGGACACCAGAGCUGGACCUGUGGCAGAGAAAUACCGCAGGCACAUCCCAGUGGACAAAGUGGUGGAGAUGGUCCAAACUGACCAGGCGGAGAAAGAGGAGCUUCUUGGUACAGUUCCUUCACACUUUAUAUACUGUAUACCAUGACUGUGAUAUGUGGUUGUCCUAACUCAAUUGAAUGCACUGACUGUUUAGUUGCUCUAGAUAAGUGUCUGCUUAAUGACAACAUGUAAUUUAAAAAUGAAUGUAGAUUGGUUGUGACAGUCACUUGGGCAUUCACAUUUUCUCUGUAAUACAUCUCCCAUAGAUGUAACAUAAAUGUAAUGACUGUUAACAGUCUGUAAACACACCAUUUAUUUCCCUUUACCCUCAUUCCAUCUAACAGACAGCAGCAUUGUCCCUGACACCCAGCCUACCAUGAAAACAGAGAGAACUAUAUUCUCCCACUGGAGGAAAGUGUCUGUAUCUGAGAUGCUGCUGCCGGUACAGAGAGGCUUCCAGAAGGCACUGCCCAAACCAGAACUUGAGAACUUAGAGCAACAGGAGCGUCCGUCGUCUGCCCAGAGAGGUUCUGGGUCGGUCCCUGGGUCAGCAGUCGGCCACAAGCAGCUCCACGCCCAGCUCACCCAGCGCCUGGAGGAGGUCCUCCGCAAGAGGGACCGGGGUACUGGGCCCGAGGAGCGAGCUGGAGCCCAGAUCAGAGUGCCUGAGGAGCGAGGUGGGCCACAGGACCAAGGGUCCCGAGAGCGAGCUGGAGCCCAGAAAGGAAGCAGGCCUGAGGAGCAAAGUGGAGCCCAGGGAGGAAGAGGGCCUGAGGAGCGAGAUGGAGCCCAGGGAGGAAGAGGGCCUGAGGAGCGAGGUGAGCCCACUGGGAGAGAUGCCAAAGAGUCACGGCAGGAUGCAGGAAGGCUUGCUCAGACCAAGGGGAAACCUAAGAGCCAGAAGUCUCAGGAAACUGAAGCCACCCCAGGGAAAGCCCCUGUCAAACCCACCCCAGCUAAAGAUAUACAGGAGAGGUCAACACCCAACUCCAAGGUUAAGGCCACUGGGUCAAACUCCAGUAAAGACAAGAGAGAGGAGGAAGUGACAGGCACCAUGAUGAGGUUAAUCUCCAGCCACUACGAGAAUAGCACAUCAUCCACCACCAUUAAAUCCCCUGUAGAGUCUGUCCCUCGCUGGCCCCUUCCACCCACCAACAGGUACUGCAGCAACAGGUACUGCAGGAACAAAACCAAGUGA
rnacentral:lncRNA from 8 species